CAAGUGUAGCGGUGAAAUGCGUACGAGAUUUGGAGGAACACCAGUGGCGAAGGCGGCUUUCUGGUCUGUAACUGACGCUGAGGCGCGAAAGCGUGGGGAGCAAACAGGAUUAGAUACCCUGGUAGUCCAUGCCGUAAACGAUGAGUGCUAAGUGUUAGGGGGUUUCCGCCCCUUAGUGCUGCAGCUAACGCAUUAAGCACUCCGCCUGGGGAGUACGGCCGCAAGGCUG
rnacentral:rRNA from 1 species